rnacentral:rRNA from 1 species
AGAACGAACGCUGGCGGCAGGCUUAACACAUGCAAGUCGAGCGCCCCGCAAGGGGAGCGGCAGACGGGUGAGUAACGCGUGGGAACAUACCCUCCGGUUCGGAAUAGCUCAGGGAAACUUGGAUUAAUACCGGAUACGGCCUAGCGGCGAAAGAUUCAUCGCCGGAGGAUUGGCCCGCGUUCGAUUAGCUAGUUGGUGAGGUAACGGCUCACCAAGGCGACGAUCGAUAGCUGGUCUGAGAGGUCGGCCGGCCACAUUGGGACUGAGACACUGCCCAGACUCCUACGGGGGGCUGCAGUAACGAAUCUUCCGCAAUGCACGCAAGUGUGACGGAGCGACGCCGCGUGUGGGACGAAGUCCUUCGGGAUGUAAACCACUGUCGAGGGUAAGAAAGUUCUGAUCUACCCAGAGGAAGGCACGGCUAACUCUGUGCCAGCAGCCGC